AACUGUUCUUAUCUACACAGCGAGCAGGUCCUCUUCUACAGAGUCCGCCAUGUUGAACAUGUUUCUACAGUGGCCCAGAAUGGACAAACCAAAGGAUGGCUCUAGAUAGGGCAUUUUGUGUAUUUUGCAGGUUUCACAGCCACCAUAGUUUUUGCUGCACACUUGGAAGGCUGAGCUGUAUUCAAAUGGUUGCAAUCUUCAACUUCACCACUGGAUGCCACUGAAUCUUACACACUGGUCUUUUAAAUUGAAACAUCAAAUAAAACAACUAUAAUGAAAUAAAAACCCCAAUAUGAAAAUAAGAAAGACAACAUAACAUUUCAUAAUGAUGACUUGAUUCUUAAUUGUUUUGAUGUAUUGGUUUAUUUUGUAUGUAAUAAUAACAAUAAUAUUAUUUAAUACUGAGUCUUGUUAAUUAAAAUGUAGCAGUCCUAGAAAGGCAGUCAGUCUUUUUAUUGUAUUCCUAAACAUUCAUCUAACAUUUUUUGCUUGAAGGUUUAUCUUUGUUUAUCUUUAUCUCUCACCGGAAACUGUCUUUCAACCCGUGUCUCGAGUUCCUUAUCACAUGAUGGAGAUCAGUUGUCAUGGAGACGUUUCGGUUUCAUUGGACAAGUUUUUUUGUGUCGGUGUCUCAUAGCGAAAUGGGGGAAAAAUACAUGUUGUUUUAUGAAUAAAUAAAUAAAUAAAAUCUAUACAGCAGAGCUCGGUGUAGCUAUCGCCCCGGUUACUGUCCCUAAAAGUCCCCGACUACAUUCCCCACAAUGCAACGCGACCACGUCUUUACGCUCCUGUGUUUACGUUUAGCGGUCACGUUCUCCAAUUGCUGGAGCAGACUUUUGGUCACUGUACAGACCACUCAGAAAUGGUGGCGGUCGUCAGUGUAUAAUUCCUCGUUUCUCUCACACUGUGGUUGUUUUUCUAUUUGUGUAACGAUGCCGGGGAUGUGCUCUGUGCCCGGCUGUAAGGGCUACAAGAAGGCCCGGUCCCGGGGAGUCGUGUUCCACUCUCUGCCUACAAGAGACCCGGGGCGGUGCAGAAAGUGGUUAAAGGCCAUACAGAACCCCAAAUUUGACGAAAACACACCAGUAAGUAAAUACGGGAAUAUACGAGUAUGUAGCCAGCAUUUUAAACCGGAAGACUACGAACCGGACAUACAGGCAGAACUUAUGAAAACAACGCCCCGAAAAAUCCUCAAGUCCAACGUGAUCCCGUCUGUUUUCUCUGGAAGACAACAAGAGGUCCUCAGCACCUCUCUGCCAGCAGAGGACAGUACCCCAGCAGAGGUGAAGACUCCCAGUACAGCUGCUCAAACCUCCACCUCAGUGGUUUCAGGCUCCAGUAUGGACGGUGUGUUGCGAUGGGCCUCUGCGUUAACCUCAGCUCCGAGGGCGUCAUCACAGGUUUCUUCCUUUGGUGUUCAAGUCACUGAUGUGGAUACUGCAUCACUUUCUCCUUCGCUGUCGAUUCCUAUUACUUCAGGAGCUCCAAGCACAUCACCCCAGUCCCCUCCACAAGCUGAACUCAAUGAAAGUUUGAGCAGCGUUGCAUCUGUGGAUGGUGUGAGUGAGAGCUUCCACCAAGAGACUGAAUUAAACACAACCGCAACGUCAAAAUCAGGCAAGAACACAGAAAAGGACUUCAAAGACUCAAAGUCAAAGACUAUUGUGAAUGACAGCUGCUUGAUGGAGCUGUUUAAGAAGUGUCAGACAUGUGGGCAGCCCAUAACAAGAAAGAAGGUGUCUCACUGCGGUGCACAGAAGAAGGUGAGGUGGAGCUGCCUUGGUGGCCACAGGGGCAUAUGGAUGUCUUCACCUCACCUUUGGGAGGCAUUUCCUGAAAUCCACCUUUUUGCUGCUCUUUCCGUUCUUUUUUCUGGAGGCACCUUUACACAAUUUAAAAAGUGGGCCAAACAUCUGCACCUGAAUUUCAUGGGGCAUAAAACCUUUUUUGAAAUUCAAAAGGCAUACCUCAGCCCAGAAAUGAAACAGAUGAACAGGACUGAGCAGGGAGGGGCCUUUGCAAAGGGGGUCCACCAACAACCUGGAGGCACUCUUCUUCACAUUUCAGAUCCUCUGAAGAAAAUGAAGGCCAAGUCGAGGAGAAGAGAGAAGGGAGUUCUGUCAUCAUGGUUAAGUUAUGAAAAGAGAUCCUCAAUAUCGCUGACCUCUACUGGAACGUGUACGCAAGAUCCUACUGCACUAUCAAGUCUUGGACAUGUAUUGGCCUCCAGAGGAGGUAAACAGCAUCAGCAAUAUGUUGAACAUCAGAGUGAAACUACACAUAUGGCACCAGAGGUGGACCGUCUUCAGGACAGGUUAAUAUUGAUCUCUGUGAGAAUUUUUGAUGAGAUGGAGUUCACCAUUGAAGAGGACGAAUGCAACAGUGUGAACAAUAGACUAUAUGAUUCGGAUAAUGAUGUGAAAAAUGUCCUACAAACAACGAAGCUCAGGGCUCCAGGAGUUGAUGAGGAAGACGUCUACGUACCAAUUAUUCCUCAGAGGUCCACAUCAUCUGAAUUAUUACUGGAAUGUGAAGAAGAGGAGCUGGAGCCAUGGCAGAAACACACUUCACAUGUUCAGUUGAAAGUUGAGGAUGAUGUUGGAGAGUUGAGUAUGUCACACCAAAUUCUUAAAGAACAUGUUGGUGUUAAGGAUUUCAAACAUCCGACUUUUGUUCUCCUUUUAAAGAGCAAAUAAAUGUUGAGUUGAAACAUGCCAUUAUUUAAACAUUUGACCUGCUACUGUUGGUUGAAUAUUGAUAGCUUACCAUAACAAUUAAACAUAUUUUUUUUAAAAGUAUUUGAUAGAUGGAUUGAGCUAAACUUCUGCUGUUGCACUUAUCUCACCUAAAAUAAAAAGACAAAAGUUGGACAUACUAUAAGGACUUUUUAAUCUGGUCAUGAAAGUCUCAAUUUAAUACUGAUGCCUCUAUUUGACCUAAAUUAACAAACAAGACCGUCAGUGAGAAUGUAUCCUUCCUCUUAAUAAUACCACCACCUUCCACCAGAUUGGAUGCGAUAGUAAAGGAGACAUUACCGCUUUUGCCCACAGAGGCCGCCAGACUCAACACAAAAUAAAAGUUCCUUGUAGCGGCUGUAACGUGAAUCUUAUUAAAGUGCCUGAUUUAGUCCUUUCUGUUCAUACAGGUAUCGACCAAAUAGAUUGUAAGCCAGAGCUUUCACUUCUUCAGAGAAAUGCAGGCUUCAUUAGAACUUCUCCUGAGUCAACAAGCAGUUCUGAGUUCAUUGGCUCCCUCAGGACACAUUGCCGUACUGGGAAUUCAUUUACAAUAGU